CAUACCAGGAACCUACAUAUUAUCGAACUUGCAUGAACCUAAAAUCUUUUUCCAUAGGGUUUCAGCUUAUGGUCUUACCUUUCAGAAAAGCCUUUGUUCAAAAUAUUCUAUCGGUAAUAAUUGAAAUAAAUCAAGUUUGAAGAUUUUCUAUCAAAUAGGGUAUGUUCAGAGCAUAAUUUUGUAUAUCAUCCCGAACUGCAAACAACAAGGCAUCGUGCGUGACCUGUCACAUACCCGAUGAUCUCUUCUUAGUUUUAUAAACAUUAUAUUCACUUGUCAUUUCUCCGGCAUCUGUGUUAUAUGAUCAGCCCAAUGGGGUCUGCCGUGGUUCAUUAGUUCAUUUUUUUUAUAUUUUGCGGGCUUCGUGGUCAUGCGAUUAGUGGUGGUAAACAUUUAGGUGUAUAUGUAGUAAGUCAUGGAGUGAGACUCGGGAAAAACUUUUCGUGAAACGAAAAAUUCCCAACUAGCUUCUGUGUGUUGUCGAAUAUAUGAUGAUAGUAAUAUUCAGUCUGUUCAGCGUCUGUCUGAAGACGGUGUGAAUUGCCAUAUUUGUUUAACAUUUUAAGUAACAUGAACAUUCGCCGGUGCGAUUUCCACACCAGCCAUCUUAUUUACCCCUACCGCAAUAUCGCAGCUUUUUCCAUCAGACUUUAUUUACGUGGUUAGCUUAAGUUAUGCCAUCGUCCUGCUAACAAUUGGGUGGAAAACAAUUAAGAAGCAUUAACGAGGGCAGCAAUGUGUGUGUGGUGAGGCACACAGUAUACCAGAAGACGAGGCACGCUAUUAAACAAUGUAAACUUCAAUUUUGGACGUCAACUUGUGACGUCAUCCUUAUCGUCCUUUUACUUGGAUGAAAUUGAUGAGGAGCAAUCAAUCGUUCAAAAAGUCAUUAUAGAACAUAUUAUUUUCAAAAACCCGUAUUUUAGUGAACAAUUAAAGUUGCUUUAUGAAAAUUUCACUGCAACGUCAGAAAAUAUAGGAAACUAUGUGGUCGAAAUUUGAAUAAUUGUAAUCCAGUGAUUUGGGCCACAACCAUCGUCAAAGUUGAAGUACUUAUUUGGAUGUCCACAGUUUUCACUCCGUAUUAUAUUGACCAUAAUGAAGCACCGGUGCAGCAGAUAAGCUUACGUUAAUUCGUUCCAUUCCAUGUUUAGUUCUAAGUUUUUAAUAAACAAUUAAUAUUGUUGCUAAGCUCAUGUAUCUGAGAGCUGGCGCGGGCUGCAUCAGACGUACUCGUACUAGUGAAGGACGCCGAGCGAAAGUGCUUCAUUUACACAUUUUUGGCGGAGCAAGUCCUUGCACUAGCGUGUGCAGGAAUCUUGCCUAAGGGGGGGGGGGGUGUAGGUCACUACAAUGAUGGUGUAAUAUAUGAUCAUGGUGCGAAAUAGAAUCAAGGUGUCACACACAAUAUGAAAUCCCAAUAUGGGGUUUCAACAUGCUGUGGCCAUUUUUAUUAAAAAGCAUUUAUAAAUUGACCAGUUGAUUUUUAUCGAGCCUUGAAGAAGGUCCGAUCCGAGGACCGAAACGUCGGCGAAGAUAAGAAACAAUCAACGCUAAAACGAAACACUGCCUAAGCCGAAAUCCGAAAUUGUAAAUCUUCAAGUACUUAACAUUGGGAUACUGGAGGAGGCUUUGAUAAACGUAUCGUAUAACUGGCAGUUCGAGUGUUCGACUCUUUGGAUGCACUGAAUGUUGAAUUUUUCAGCUAAGCAGUCAAUAAACUCUUUUAACGAAUUAUUUAGUUAGUUCAACAGACAUAGAACGAACAAAAAUUUUUCCUUUGAAGAUGACAAGAUGUUUCUUGUCCAAACGUAAAGAAACGCAUACCAGGAACCUAAGUAUUAUCAAACUUGCAUGAACCAAAACUCCUUUUUUAGCAUUUCACACCGUCUUCUGCCAGACGCUGAACAGACUGAAUACCACCAUAUAACCACCAUAUAACAAACAACACACAGAAGCUAGUAAGGAAUUUUUCGUUUCACGAAAGUUUCUUCAGAAUCUUACUCCAAGACUUACUACACAUACACCUAAACGUAUAACUCCACUAACCGCAUGACCUCGAAGCUCACAAAAUAAAAAAAUGAGCUAAUUAACCACGACAGACCCCCUUGGGCUGAUCAUAUAACACAGAUGCCGGAAAAAUGGCAAGUGAAUAUAAUGUUUAUAAAACUAAGAAGAGAUCAUCGGGUAUGUGACAGGUCACGCACGAUGCCUUGUUGUUUGCAGUUCGGAAUGAUCAACAAAAUUAUGCUCUGAAUAUACCUCAUUUGAUAGAAAAUCUUCAAACUUGAUUUAUUUCAAUUUUUACCGAUAGAAUAUUUUGAACAAAGGCUUUUCUGAAAGGUAAGACCAUAAGCUGAAA